rnacentral:rRNA from 1 species
ACGAACGCUGGCGGCGUGCUUAACACCUGCAAGUCGAACGGUGAAGCGCCUUCCUUUUUGGUGGGUGUGGAUGAGUGGCGAACGGGUGAGUAACACGUGAGUAACCUGCCCCCUUCUUCUGGAUAACCGCAUGAAAGUGUGGCUAAUACGGGAUAUUCUGGGUCUGUCGCAUGAUGGGUCUGGGAAAGAUAUUGUUUCGGUGGGGGAUGGGCUCGCGGCCUAUCAGCUUGUUGGUGGGGUGAUGGCCUACCAAGGCGGUGACGGGUAGCCGGCCUGAGAGGGUGGACGGUCACACUGGGACUGAGACACGGCCCAGACUCCUACGGGAGGCAGCAGUGGGGAAUAUUGCACAAUGGGCGCAAGCCUGAUGCAGCGACGCCGCGUGAGGGAUGGAGGCCUUCGGGCUGUGAACCUCUUUCGCCAGUGAAGCAGGCCUGCCUCGUUUGUGGGUGGGUUGACGGUAGCUGGAUAAGAAGCGCCGGCUAACUACGUG